GGUGGUGCAUGGCCGUUCUU
rnacentral:siRNA from 1 species